AGGACUCGGAGCGAGCCCCAGAGGCUCCUUCUCUUGGCGUCAGUGGGAAGGGGGAAGGGCCGUGGCGGCGGGCGAGGCUUCGCAGUUAGCAGCCACAGACCCCAGAAAAGAUUCAAAUGCGCACUCCAGCCGGAGCGGGAACUGGGACCUCUACGGAAUGUCAGCUAAGCCGGCCCUCCAGCUUGAAUGCUGCGCGCUUGCGCCGUCUGUGCUUCCUCGUGGGCUUCCUCUUUUUUUUCCUGCACUGCUAUAGUGUCUGAUUGCAUUCUGGCCUAGUAAUGGUGAUGGAGCGAACAGGGUGGGGAGGAGAUGGGUGUAACCCAAGCACCCUUGUCAACACGUCCAGAUGGUUGGGGAAUGUCUGGCUGUGGGAUGGCUCUAAGGGGAGGGACCUCAAGUGGGGUGCUAGGUGUGCCUUGCGUUUCAGCGUCUCCAACUUUAAAAUUUAAGAGCCACACACGGAGACAUUUAGGGGUCCUGAAGACGGGCGGGUGACAAUAAGCGGACACCUGGCGCAUCCACCCACACAGAAAAGCUAGUUUUAGAAGCAACACACAAUUUCUCCAUCAGUGUCACUGUUGUUCCGUUCACAUUAGUCACCCCGGAUGGCUGUACUUGCACACAAGAGUUUGGGAAUUUCCUUCAGGACCUGUUUACCCACCACACAAACAUAUCAUUCAUUGCUCGAUCACACUUUAUUUCCAACUCAAACCGUCAUUUUCCAGCACUGCUACCCGCGCUACUCAGGCUGCUGAUGACUUAUGUCCACGUGUAGGGAUCACAUUCACCUUUAAAAGAUGCUGUGGGAGCUGGGCAGUGGUGCCUUUAAUCCCAGCACUUGGGAGGCUGAGGCAGGCAGAUUUCUGAGUUCGAGGCCAGGCUGGUCUACAGAGUGAGUUCCAGGACAGCCAGGGGCUACGCGGAGAAACCCUGUAUCAGAAAGAAAGGGAGAGAGAGAGAGAGAGAGAGAGAGAGAGAGAGAGAGAGAGAGAGAAAGGAAG
rnacentral:lncRNA from 1 species